CUGGUUUAGUGAUGAAGAGUCAGGAGAACCGAAGCUGAAAUCCUGGCUUUGUCACUCCCUAACUUUAAGAAAUUGAGUAACUUAAUUUCUCUGUGUUUCAUUUUCUACAUAAUAAAAAAAGCAAAAAACAAACAAGCAAAUAAGCCAGUAUCAAACAGUAUUCAUUUGAUGAGUGAUUUUUUGAAAGAUUUCCUCAUUCUAGAAACUUUUAUUUUUAUAAGAUGUUUGUUGUACUUUGUGUUAAUCUUAAACACUGAGGAAACCCAUCUGGCUAAUUCAGGGUAACCACCCAGUUUCAAGAUCCUUAAUUUAAUCUCAUCAGCAAAGUCCCCUUUGCCAUGUAAGGUGACGGAAUUCAUAUGUUCCACGGAUUAAGACAUGGCAUCUUUGGAAGGCAAAGAAUGUGGGCAGCCUGGAGAAGCUGGAAAAGAAGAUUCAAGCCCACUGAAGUAUAAAUGAAAAACAGAAGCAAAGCGAGGACGCCGCAGAGAAAUUUAAUGCCUUAUGUCACAACACUGGUCACCAUUGCAUGAUGAGUCACUAAGAGAUACUGCCAGAUGCAUAGUGAAUGUGUUCACACAACACAUAGAACUUCUUUGGAAGUGUGCUUCCAAGACAAAACUUAACCUUAGAGUAUUUAUAUGACAAUCUGUGGAGGUACUUACAGAAUCAGCCCUCCAGACUUACAGAAGCUGGGCUUCCCAAAUGAAACUACUACUUUCCAAUGCCUGGACUCAUAAUCCUUGCAAGAAUCCUGGUACAACAACUGCCUAUAAACACUUGCCAAGUCUGAGAUCAAGCUACUAAUUGAAGUAGUCACAAUAGGAGGUGUCUUCACUAUAAAAAUGUAUGAAAAUUUUGAGUAUAUUUACUGUGAGAAUGCUUUGCAAAGACUUCACAGAAAAGUAUUUCACAUUGUAAUAGUCCUGGAGCAUGAGUCAUCAGGCAGUAAUCAAGUUGUCUUUUUGAAUCAGAAUGAAGACCAUCAAUGUCAAGUUAGUGUUUUUAUGUCAUGAAUGGAAUGAGGGAGAGAUACCAUAGCUAUCUUUUCAGAGAGAAUCGGAUAUACUUUCCUGAUACACUUGGGACACCGUAAUCCUUGGCACAGGUUACAUCCAUGUUCUCAAAAAGGAGUUUGCAUUAUUUUUGCAGAAUGCGCUCAUGGGUCUCGUAUUAAAGUCUGUUCUGCUGUGGAGAUACAUCCAGAAGUUCAGCAUAAAUACACUGAUUUUCAAAAACCUAGGAAUUAUCCUGCUUAUACCUUUUAUUACCUGGAAAAAUUACUUCAAGUAAUUGGAUCUUGGUUUCCUCAUUUGUAAAAUGAAAAUAUUGUUAUUUACACCAUAUGGAUAUUAAAAAGAUUGAUAAGAUAACAUAUAUGAGAAUGAUCAGCAGAGUGUCUGGCAUGGAUACUUUGCCUUAAAAGUAUUGAAAUGAUAUUUGAAGUUUGAUAUUGUUGAUGCUGAUCGACUGCCUGUUUCACUGCAUUUGGUCUCUCUGGUCUUCUCUGGGAUUGCCAUCAAGAAUUUUAAAAUUUAUCCUUGGUCUGAACAGAGAGAAAGAAAUUCAUAUGACAUAUUUUUGCUUUUGGUCUGAACUUACAGAUUAACACUUUCCUUCUAGACACAUAUCCAUGUUUUUGAAGAGGUUCUCAUCUCUAAAUGAAUUCUUUCCUAAUUGUGUUUGUGUGUUAUACCCUGAUCUCCUGAUCCUGUUCUUCACUGUGGCUGCUAAAUUCUAAAAUUUCUGGUAUGGGAGUCCUUCCUUAUCAGCACAGGAUAUGUUCCAAAACUCUCAGUGGAUGCCUGAAACUGUGACUAGUACCCAACCCUAUAUAUACUAUAAUUUUUCCUAUAUAUAUGUACCUAUGAUAAAGUUUAAUUUAUAAAUUAGGCACAGUAAGAGAUUAACACAGUAACUCAUAAUAAAAUAAAGCAAUUAUAACAAUAUAUUGCAAUAAAAAUUAUGUGAAUGUGGUCUCUCUCUUUUAAAAUACUUUAGUAUUUUUGGACUGAGGUUGACUGUGGGUAACUGAAACCACAGAAAGCAAAAUCAUGGGUAAGUGGGGAAUGCUGUAUAACUCAUUCUGCAAACUCUCUAAACCCUUGCUUGCAUCUCACUAAGAAAUUUUAAAACAACUUUCCUUGCAAAAGUGAGAGCACAGCUAAUAAUGAAGGCAAAAUAAAAUAAAAGGUACACAGCCCAGUCCUAAGCUAUAGAUAAGCAAGGCAUCUAAUUAUUAAUCUGAUGUGAAAUGAUACUGGCCCCUAAAGAUCCUGUUAUGGGUAUUUUAUGGAUCAUGUUGAAACUAGUGUUCUUGCUGCUUAUUUUUCCUCCUGAUGAGGAGAGAAGCAAAAAUAAUCACAUGCUACGGCUUUGUGAAGAACUUGAAGGGAAAGUAAAAAAUGAGUUCUUCUCAUUUUUUUCCUUCUAGAUUCUAAUUCUUUUCACAUUUAACUGGGGAAUCAGUGAAAUUCAGCCCUUUUGACUCUUCAUAAAUGUGGGAUAAGUGGUGAAAACAGAACAUCAUGAUGAGAGACUCCAGACCUAGAUUAUUUAAUUAGUGUUUUGUCUUUGGCAAAGCCUUAAAUCUCUAUGUUUCCGAGUUUUCUCACUUAUUAAAUGGAGUAAGUAAUAGCUUCCUUACAUCACUGGGAUAUUUUGAGAAUAGAUAAAAUGAUGAAUGUCAAAAUUCUUUUGUAAAAAGCAAAAUGUUAUUUUUAGACAA
rnacentral:lncRNA from 10 species